UUUAUUUGUGGCACUGAAAGAAACAGUGACAGCUGUGGGCGAGAGCGGCAGGCCGCAGCUCCUCCACAGCCGGCAGGUUUAGCAGCACCCACCCACCGGGCCCGGGUCAGAGACAGCGGCGAAGCCUUGCCAUGAUGCACUUUUUCGCUGACAGAGAUUUUACUUUACGAGGUCCUUUUGGUUUCUGACUGGUGUGGUUUUGCUGCACAGGGCGAGUUUGGAGAGACACGUGGAAAUCUGCCAUGCUGGUUCAGCCUCCUUUUAAAUCCGGGGCUGGGGCCUCGUAGCUGGGGAGUGCACGGAGCUGGGAGCCCAGUGGUGACUGACCAAGCACAGCGUCAGUCUGACCCAUGGACGGAUGGCAGGGACAGCAGAUACCCAGCUGGGUCAGGGUUAGACUUCUGGACCUCACAGCUGCGGGACACCUGCCAGGCCUGGCCUCCAGAGCCCGUGUUACCUCGGAGGACCCGGGAUGCCCGCCGUCCCCGCGACCCAGUGGGCCUCUCGGGGCUGGACCAGGGUCUGAGAACCUGUGAGGACUUGGAAGCCAACAGUGUCACAGCUCCGCAGAGGCUGGCUCUGGAAAAGCUCCCGCCUUCUUAGUGCCCAGUGCAGCAGGGAGCCGGGACCCUGCCUGUUUCCGCUGGUUUCUGGUUUUGCCCCUCGAGCCCGUAUUGUCAGCAAGUAAAUGAUUCCAACUGUCUCUGUGUGGUCCAAGUACACCUACGGCAUGAGGCCACUCGCUGGGCCCAGAAAUGGGAUCAGGACCACUGUGGGCUCCCAUGGGACUCCUGUCACCGCCAGCCGGGCUGUUCAUUGGCAACUUCACGUUUCAGAGGCAGAGCACGUUUAUUUUCUCGGCACAGUGGCCAAGCAAGGCCGCAGGGCCUCUGUGAGUCCACCGCACACUGGGCCAUGGGCAGAGUGGCCCAAGGCUUGCUCCUCGCCGUGUGGGGCCUGGGGUGAUGGUCCUGGGAUCCUCGGUGGGUUUCUGCCAUGGUCCAACCUCUCUUGGUGGCUCACACAAGCAAGGGCACCUACAACCGAGAUGGACACAGUUACGCAGGCUGGUGCGACCAGGAGCUCUGCCUGCCAGUCCAGUGUAGAGGGCACUGGGCAGAGGCCAGCUGCCGAGCCAGUUCCUGCAGUACAGCAGGAAGAGUGGGCAUGGUCAGGCCCUGUGCACG
ensembl:lncRNA